rnacentral:rRNA from 1 species
GACGAACGCUGGCGGCGUGCUUAAUACAUGCAAGUCGAACGGAAAGGCCCUGCUUUUGUGGGGUGCUCGAGUGGCGAACGGGUGAGUAACACGUGAGUAACCCGUCCUUGACAUUGGGAUAACUUCAGGAAACUGGGGCUAAUACCGGAUAGGAGCUCCUGCUGCAUGGUGGGGGUUGGAAAGUUUCGGCGGUUGGGGAUGGACUCGCGGCUUAUGAGCUUGUUGGUGGGGUAGUGGCUUACCAAGGUUUCGACGGGUAGCCGGCCUGAGAGGGUGGACGGCCACAAUGGGACUGAGGUACGGCCCAGACGCGUACGGGAGGCAGCAGUGGAGAAUAUUGCGCAAUGGGCGGGAGCCUGAUACAGCAACGCCGCGUGCGGGAUGACGUCCUUCGGGUUGUGAACCGCUGUCGCCUGUGACGAAGCGUGAGUGACGGUAAUGGGUAAGGAAGCACCGGCUAACUACGUG